AUGCCUAACACAUGCAAGUCAACUUGACUGAAGGAGCAAUCUGACAGUAGAGUGGCGCAAGGGUGCGUAACGCGUAAGUAACUUGCCCCAAGGUAAGGAAUAACGUCGAGAAAUCGGCGCUAAUACCUCAUAAUGCAGCGGAUCCGCAUGGAUAUGUUGUUAAAGGUUUACCGCCUUGGGAUAGGCUUGCGUCUGAUUAGCUAGUUGGUGUGGUAACGGCACACCAAGGCUACGAUCAGUAACUGGUCUGAGAGGAUGAUCAGUCACACUGGAACUGAGACACGGUCCAGACUCCUACGGGAGGCAGCAGUGAGGAAUAUUGGGCAAUGCUCGAAAGAGUGACCCAGCAACGCCGCGUGGAGGAUGAAGGUAUUCUAUAUCGUAAACUCCUGUGGGAGCAGACGAAAGACAGAUUAUUAAUCUGGAUGACUGUAUGCUCAGAGGAAGCCCCGGCUAACUACGUG
rnacentral:rRNA from 1 species